rnacentral:rRNA from 1 species
GAUGAACGCUGGCGGCGUGCUUAGCACAUGCAAGUCGAACGGAAAGGCUCCUGCUUGCAGGGGUACUCGAGUGGCGAACGGGUGAGUAACACGUGGGUGAUCUGCCCUGCACUUCGGGAUAAGCCUGGGAAACUGGGUCUAAUACCGGAUAGGACCACAUUUUGGAUGGUGUGGUGGAAAGUUUUUCGGUGUGGGAUGAGCUCGCGGCCUAUCAGCUUGUUGGUGGGGUAAUGGCCUACCAAGGCGUCGACGGGUAGCCGGCCUGAGAGGGUGUACGGCCACAUUGGGGCUGAGAUACGGCCCAGACUCCUACGGGAGGCAGCAGUGGGGAAUAUUGCACAAUGGGCGCAAGCCUGAUGCAGCGACGCCGCGUGGGGGAUGACGGCCUUCGGGUUGUAAACUCCUUUCGCUAGGGACGAAGCGUUUUUGUGACGGUACCUGGAGAAGAAGCACCGGCUAACUACGUG